rnacentral:rRNA from 1 species
AACGAACGCUGGCGGCGCGCUUAACACAUGCAAGUCGAACGCGAACGGGUUCUUCGGGACCUUAGUAGAGUGGCGCACGGGUGAGUAACGCGUAAGUUAUCUACCUCGGCAUCUGGAAUAACUCACCGAAAGGUGUGCUAAUACCGGAUACGUUGAGUAAUCAAGAAAGGUGGCCUCUCUUUGAUGCUACCGUGCUGAGAUGAGCUUGCGUACCAUUAGCUAGUUGGUGGGGUAAUGGCCUACCAAGGCGACGAUGGUUAGCGGGUCUGAGAGGAUGAUCCGCCACCCUGGAACUAGAACACGGACCAGACUCCUACGGGAGGCAGCAGUGAGGAAUAUUGCGCAAUGGGGGCAACCCUGACGCAGCGACGCCGCGUGGAUGAUGAAGGCCUUCGGGUCGUAAAAUCCAGUCAGGUGGAAAGAAAUGUAUAUGUGCUAAUACCAUGUAUACUUGACGGUACCACCGAAGGAAGCACCGGUUAACUCCGUGCCAGCCGCCGCCGUAA